AUCCUUUUGUAGUCCAUAAGUAUGAUGAUGGGGUGCUUACACUCUUGUGCAGGAUGUGCCUCCCACAAACCUUGUUACAUCUUCAGCAUAUUUCCCCUCUGACA